AGGCAUAAUGGCUAUGCCUAUAGGCCUAGCUACUCAAGAGGCUGAGGAAGGAGGAUUGCUUGAGUCCAGUAGUUCUGGGCAGUAGUGCAGUAUCCCUAUCUAGUGUCUGCACUGACUUCAGCGCCAAUGUGGUGACUUCCCAGGAGCAGGGGACCACCAGGUUAUUUGACUAUGGAGAGGUAAACCAGUCCAGAUCAGAAAUGGAGCAGGUCAGAUCAGUAAUGGGUUCAUACUUGUGAAACCACACUGCAUUUCAGCCUGGGCAACAAAAUGAGACCCUUGUCUAU
rnacentral:SRP_RNA from 1 species